ACACCACCACACCUCCACCUACAUCCACACCUCCACCAUCAUACACCUCUCCUCCUGUUCUCUCUGUGUUGUCAUGUGUUGGAGCAGUCUGUGUUCUGGUUCUACUGGUGUUACUGGUUCUGCUGGUGAGAUGAUGUGUCCACAGGAAACCUGAAGAUGGAAAAGUAGCUGAAGAAGAUGACAUCAUCACUUAAGUCAUGUACUGUGAUGUCAAAACAUCAGAACUUCAAAAACAGCCAAUCAGACGUCGCAGAGACAGAAAUUCAGCUGCAGUCGACUCAGCAGUGAGAACUGAAGAUGUCAGUUAUGAACAAACAAACAACAAAACAAGGAGGCCCAGACUUUAAACCAGUGCCAGACGUCGUCUACUCUUCAUUGAAGUAGUCCACCAGUCCAACCACUGACGUCCAGCUGCUGGUCUCUAACUGGUCCCCCCAUCACCUCAGACCAGAGGACAUCCACAUGUUAUUUAUAUUUUUUAAUUUCCUCUAUAACCUGUAAAAGCAUUCCGUAUAAGUUCUCUGCAGGAUCAAUAAACUCAAUCAAUAAAAAGGAUUCCCUCUUUGUUCAAUCUUUUUUUUUAAUUUAUGAAACAAGGAAUAAAAAUUAAGCUUCAACUGGCACACUGUAAACAGCAGGGACAUCAUUCAGUGGGAGCAAAACACAGUAAAACAUCAGUACAGAACAGGACAAUAUGUACUGUGCAUUUUUUCAGUUGCACUUUAUCAGGAAGAUAUGAGUAUAGAGAAGGUUUAACAUGGUGAAUGUUGGACUAGUGUUCAUUACCCUGUCAAUAUUUAUAGUCUCACACUCAGUGGUCUGACCUAAAAUAAAGAAAUGAAGUGUUUUAGUGUGCGAUGAAGUAU